GAGUUUGAUCAUGGCUCAGGACGAACGCUGGCGGCGUGCUUAACACAUGCAAGUCGAACGGAAAGGCCCUGCUUUUGUGGGGUGCUCGAGUGGCGAACGGGUGAGUAACACGUGAGUAACCUGCCCUUGACUUUGGGAUAACUUCAGGAAACUGGGGCUAAUACCGGAUAGGAGCUCCUGCUGCAUGGUGGGGGUUGGAAAGUUUCGGCGGUUGGGGAUGGACUCGCGGCUUAUCAGCUUGUUGGUGGGGUAGUGGCUUACCAAGGCUUUGACGGGUAGCCGGCCUGAGAGGGUGACCGGCCACAUUGGGACUGAGAUACGGCCCAGACUCCUACGGGAGGCAGCAGUGGGGAAUAUUGCACAAUGGGCGGAAGCCUGAUGCAGCAACGCCGCGUGCGGGAUGACGGCCUUCGGGUUGUAAACCGCUUUCGCCUGUGACGAAGCGUGAGUGACGGUAAUGGGUAAAGAAGCACCGGCUAACUACGUGCCAGCAGCCGCGGUGAUACGUAGGGUGCGAGCGUUGUCCGGAUUUAUUGGGCGUAAAGGGCUCGUAGGUGGUUGAUCGCGUCGGAAGUGUAAUCUUGGGGCUUAACCCUGAGCGUGCUUUCGAUACGGGUUGACUUGAGGAAGGUAGGGGAGAAUGGAAUUCCUGGUGGAGCGGUGGAAUGCGCAGAUAUCAGGAGGAACACCAGUGGCGAAGGCGGUUCUCUGGGCCUUUCCUGACGCUGAGGAGCGAAAGCGUGGGGAGCGAACAGGCUUAGAUACCCUGGUAGUCCACGCUGUAAACGGUGGGUACUAGGUGUGGGGUCCAUUCCACGGGUUCCGUGCCGUAGCUAACGCUUUAAGUACCCCGCCUGGGGAGUACGGCCGCAAGGCUAAAACUCAAAGGAAUUGACGGGGCCCCGCACAAGCGGCGGAGCAUGCGGAUUAAUUCGAUGCAACGCGUAGAACCUUACCUGGGUUUGACAUGGAUCGGGAGCGCUCAGAGAUGGGUGUGCCUCUUUUGGGGUCGGUUCACAGGUGGUGCAUGGCUGUCGUCAGCUCGUGUCGUGAGAUGUUGGGUUAAGUCCCGCAACGAGCGCAACCCUUGUUCACUGUUGCCAGCACGUUAUGGUGGGGACUCAGUGGAGACCGCCGGGGUCAACUCGGAGGAAGGUGGGGAUGACGUCAAGUCAUCAUGCCCCUUAUGUCCAGGGCUUCACGCAUGCUACAAUGGCUGGUACAGAGAGUGGCGAGCCUGUGAGGGUGAGCGAAUCUCGGAAAGCCGGUCUCAGUUCGGAUUGGGGUCUGCAACUCGACCUCAUGAAGUCGGAGUCGCUAGUAAUCGCAGAUCAGCAACGCUGCGGUGAAUACGU
rnacentral:rRNA from 1 species